UACAGAGGGUGCGAGCGUUGUCCGGAAUCACUGGGCGUAAAGGGCGCGUAGGCGGCCUGAUAAGUAGGGGGUGAAAUCUUGCGGCUCAACCGCAAGGCUGCCUUCUAAACUGUCAGGCUGGAGCACGGUAGAGGCAGAUGGAAUUCCCGGCGUAGCGGUGGAAUGCGUAGAGAUCGGGAAGAACACCAGUGGCGAAGGCGGUCUGCUGGGCCGUUGCUGACGCUGAGGAGCGAAAGCGUGGGGAGCGAACAGG
rnacentral:rRNA from 1 species